rnacentral:rRNA from 1 species
AUGAACGCUGGCGGCGUGCCUAAUACAUGCAAGUCGAGCGAACAGACGAGGAGCUUGCUCCUCUGAUGUUAGCGGCGGACGGGUGAGUAACACGUAGAUAACCUACCUAUAAGACUGGGAUAACUUCGGGAAACCGGAGCUAAUACCGGAUAACAUGUUGAACCGCAUGGUUCAACAGUGAAAGACGGUCUUGCUGUCACUUAUAGAUGGAUCCGCGCCGCAUUAGCUAGUUGGUAAGGUAACGGCUUACCAAGGCAACGAUGCGUAGCCGACCUGAGAGGGUGAUCGGCCACACUGGAACUGAGACACGGUCCAGACUCCUACGGGAGGCAGCAGUAGGGAAUCUUCCGCAAUGGGCGAAAGCCUGACGGAGCAACGCCGCGUGAGUGAAGAAGGUCUUCGGAUCGUAAAACUCUGUUAUUAGGGAAGAACAAAUGUGUAAGUAACUAUGCACGUCUUGACGGUACCUAAUCAGAAAGCCACGGCUAACUACGUG